GGAUAAAUUUAAGGGUUAAUUAUUGAAAUAGAAGGUUUACAAGAAAUAACUUUAUUAAAUUGUUUUAGUAUAGGAAUAGAAUUAAUUGGUGAAUUGAUAGUGAAUUAGUAUUGUGAGAGAGGGUUGAAAUAUUUUGAAAAUAUAUUUGAAUAGAAGUAAAUUAAUAUUGUACCUUGUGUAUCAGGGUUUAUUAAAAAUGGGGUACGGAUUUAUUCAUCCCGAAUUGAGAAGAGCUAAUUUAUUAUGUUAGUUAGUAUGUUAUGAUUAUUAAUAAUAAUAAGUUUGUAAUGAGAUGUUAGGCGUUUCUCAGAAUAUCUGGUUUUCUAAGAAAUGAAUUUAAUUCAGCAGGAUUUAUUAACUUGUAAUUUAUGUUAUAAGUUAUAGAUUGAUUGUAAUACUUUAAGGGAUAAGCUUUGGGGUAAUGCUUAGAAGUAAUAUUUAAUUAUGUUGAAAGUUGUAGGCUUUAAAUUAGCUAUCAAUUGAAUAAUGUUAUAAAUUAUUUAAUGUUGAUAUGAUUUUAUAUAAAUUUUAGGUAGUAUAUUGGAAUAAUUUAUGUAACUUUAAGAUAUUUGUAAUAAUGAUAAAAUUAGUAUAUUUUUUUAAUGUAUAUGAUUUAGUAAGAAGGUAAUUUAUGUAAAGGAACUAGGCAAUUUUAAUGUUCGCCUGUUUAUCAAAAACAUGUCCUUUUGUGAUAAAUUUAAGGUCGGGCCUGCCCCCUGAUGGUAUUAUUAAAGGGCCGCGGUAUUUUGACCGUGCAAAGGUAGCAUAAUCAUUAGUCUUUUAAUUGGAGGCUAGAAUGAAUGGCUUGACGAAACAUUAACUGUCUCUAUAUAAAAUAUAGAAUUUAACUUUUGAGUAAAAAGGCUUAAAUGUGUAUAAAAGACGAGAAGACCCUAUAGAGCUUUAUAUUUAUAUUUAGUUAUUGUAUUUAGUAGUAGUAUCUAUAGUUAAAUAAAUGUAUUUUGUUGGGGUGACGUGAAGAUAAAAAGAACUCUUUAUUAGUAAAACAUAGAUUUAUGAAUAUUUGAUCCAUUAUUAGUGAUUAUAAGAUAAAGUUACCUUAGGGAUAACAGCGUAAUCUUUUUUAAGAGUUCAUAUCGACAAGAAGGAUUGCGACCUCGAUGUUGGAUUAAGGAAUAUGAUUAGGUGUAGAAGUUUAAUUAAUAAGUCUGUUCGACUUUUAAAUCCUUACAUGAUCUGAGUUCAGACCGGCGUAAGCCAGGUCGGUUUCUAUCUUUAUAAAGAUAAAGUAUUUUAGUACGAAAGGACCAAAUAUUUAAAAAAGUUUUUGAAGGAUGAUAAGAUUAACA
rnacentral:rRNA from 1 species